AUUGAACGCUGGCGGCAUGCCUUACACAUGCAAGUCGAACGGUAACGCGGGGCAACCUGGCGACGAGUGGCGAACGGGUGAGUAAUGCAUCGGAACGUGCCUGGUAGUGGGGGAUAACUGCUCGAAAGAGCAGCUAAUACCGCAUACGACCUGAGGGUGAAAGGGGGAGGUCGCAAGACCUCUCGCUAUCAGAGCGGCCGAUGUCGGAUUAGCUAGUUGGUGGGGUAAAGGCCCACCAAGGCAACGAUCCGUAGCUGGUCUGAGAGGACGACCAGCCACACUGGGACUGAGACACGGCCCAGACUCCUACGGGAGGCAGCAGUGGGGAAUUUUGGACAAUGGACGCAAGUCUGAUCCAGCCAUGCUGCGUGCGGGAAGAAGGCCUCGGGUUGUAAACCGCUUUUGUCAGGGAAGAAAUCUUCUGGGCUAAUACCCUGGGAGGAUGACGGUACCUGAAGAAUAAGCACCGGCUAACUACGUGCCAGCAGCCGCGGUAAUACGUAGGGUGCAAGCGUUAAUCGGAAUUACUGGGCGUAAAGCGUGCGCAGGCGGUUGUGCAAGACAGGUGUGAAAUCCCCGAGCUCAACUUGGGAACUGCACUUGUGACUGCACGGCUAGAGUACGGUAGAGGGGAGUGGAAUUCCGCGUGUAGCAGUGAAAUGCGUAGAUAUGCGGAGGAACACCGAUGGCGAAGGCAGCUCCCUGGACCUGUACUGACGCUCAUGCACGAAAGCGUGGGGGAGCAAAACAGGAUUAGAUA
rnacentral:rRNA from 1 species